rnacentral:rRNA from 1 species
GGAUUAGAUACCCUGGUAGUCCACGCCGUAAACGAUGGUUACUAGCUGUUCGGAUUUCGGUCUGAGUGGCUAAGCGAAAGUGAUAAGUAACCCACCUGGGGAGUACGUUCGCAAGAAUGAAACUCAAAGGAAUUGACGGGGGCCCGCACAAGCGGUGGAGCAUGUGGUUUAAUUCGAUGAUACGCGAGGAACCUUACCAGGGCUUAAAUGCAGUACGACAGGUCUAGAGAUAGACUUUUCUUCGGACGGACUGCAAGGUGCUGCAUGGUUGUCGUCAGCUCGUGCCG